rnacentral:rRNA from 1 species
GACGAACGCUGGCGGCGUGCUUAACACAUGCAAGUCGAGCGGUAAGGCCCUUCGGGGUACACGAGCGGCGAACGGGUGAGUAACACGUGAGUAAUCUGCCCAUCACUUCGGGAUAACUCCGGGAAACCGGUGCUAAUACCGAAUAUGACCACUUCAGGCAUCUGAUGGUGGUGGAAAGUUCCGGCGGUGAUGGAUGAGCUCGCGGCCUAUCAGCUUGUUGGUGGGGUAGUGGCCUACCAAGGCUUCGACGGGUAGCCGGCCUGAGAGGGUGACCGGCCACACUGGGACUGAGACACGGCCCAGACUCCUACGGGAGGCAGCAGUGGGGAAUAUUGGACAAUGGGCGAAAGCCUGAUCCAGCAACGCCGCGUAAGGGAUGACGGCCUUCGGGUUGUAAACCUCUUUCAGCAGGGACGAAGCGCAAGUGACGGUACCUGCAGAAGAAGCACCGGCCAACUACGUG